UACAGAGGGUGCAAGCGUUAAUCGGAAUUACUGGGCGUAAAGCGUGCGCAGGCGGUUUUGUAAGUCUGUCGUGAAAGCCCCGGGCUCAACCUGGGAAUUGCGAUGGAGACUGCAAGGCUUGAAUCUGGCAGGGGGGGUAGAAUUCCACGUGUAGCAGUGAAAUGCGUAGAGAUGUGGAGGAACACCGAUGGCGAAGGCAGCCCCUGGGUCAAGAUUGACGCUCAUGCACGAAAGCGUGGGGAGCAAACAGG
rnacentral:rRNA from 1 species